GGUUAAGCGACUAAGCGUACACGGUGGAUGCCCUGGCAGUCAGAGGCGAUGAAGGACGUGCUAAUCUGCGAUAAGCGUCGGUGAGGUGAUAUGAACCGUUAUAACCGGCGAUUUCCGAAUGGGGAAACCCAGUGUGUUUCGACACACUAUCAUUAACUGAAUCCAUAGGUUAAUGAGGCGAACCGGGGGAACUGAAACAUCUAAGUACCCCGAGGAAAAGAAAUCAACCGAGAUUCCCCCAGUAGCGGCGAGCGAACGGGGAGGAGCCCAGAGCCUGAAUCAGUGUGUGUGUUAGUGGAAGCGUCUGGAAAGGCGCGCGAUACAGGGUGACAGCCCCGUACACAAAAAUGCACAUAUUGUGAGCUCGAUGAGUAGGGCGGGACACGUGGUAUCCUGUCUGAAUAUGGGGGG
rnacentral:rRNA from 1 species